GCUUAAAGCACAAAGCACGCCUGUAACUAGUUCAGUGGUGGUUCAGACCAGGAUGGUCUUCAAUUCCUCCUCCCCUGUUCCCAGUGAGAGUUUGGUUCUCAGUGUAACCCAGACUCUUCUGAGUGCUCGACUCCCAAACCUCACUGACUCUGUAAAAGAGCUGAACUUCACCUAUGAGAAAAUUUCAGACACCUCCUAUGCGGUAAAUUUUCAAUUCAACAUCAGUAACGUCAGCAUGGCACAGAACCCUGACCAAAGGAAUGAUACCUACAAGCAAGUGGAGAACAUCACCAACAAUGCUGUGAGUGUGCAUCGCCAUGGGCUUAAAGACAUUCUGACAAAUGUCCAGAGAUGGCGUUGUAUCCCACUGCAGAGUUUAACAAAAACUAUUUCAAAAAUCAAAUAGUCGAAAAGUUCAGACUCACAGUAGGGUAAUCAGGCAAAGGUUGAAAUACAAGAAAGUAGAUAAAGAAGAAGAAAAAAACAGCACAGAAAUGUGCAACAGGAUCAUACACUGUAAUCGAAUAGAGGCCUGCAAUGGGGGAACUGUAAAGGGUAAGAGACACUGAUCAGCCAUAACAUUAUGACCACCUGCCUAACAUUGUGUUGGUCCCCCUUUUGCUGCCAAAACAGCCCUGACCCAUCGAGGCAAGGCCUCCACUAGAUCCCUGAAGGUGUGCUGUGAUAACUGGCACCAAGAUGUUAGCAGCAUAUCCUUUAUGUCCUGCAAGUUGCGAGGUGGGACCUCCACGGAUCGGGCAUGUUUGUCCAGCACAUCCCACAGAUGCUGGAUUGGAUGGAGAUCUGGGGAAUUUGGAGGCCAAAUCCAACCUUUCUUAAAGCAUUUUUGCUCUGUGGCACGAUGCAUUAUCCUGCUGAAAGAGGCCACAGCUAUCAAGGAAUACCAUUUUGUGAAACGGUGUACAUGGUCUGCAACAAUGCUUAGGUAGGUGGUACGUGUCAAAGUAACAUCCACAUGGAUGGCAGGACCCGAGCUUUCCCAGCAGAACAAUGCCCAAAGCAUGAAACUACAUCCGUCGACUUGCGUCCUUCCCAUAGUGCAUCCUGGUGCCAGGUGUUUCCCAGGUAAGAGACGCACACGCACUCGGCCAUCCACGUGAGGUAAAAGAAAACGUGUUUCAUCAGAGCAGGCCACCGUUUCCAUUGGUCCAGCGUCCAGUCCUGAUGCUCACGUGCCCAUUGUUGGUGCUUUCGGCGGUGCACAGAGGUCAGCGUGUCCGCCCUGACCGGUCUGCAGCUAUGCACCCCCGAUACGCAACAAACUGCCAUGCACUGUGUAUUCUGACCCCUUUCUAUCAGAACCAGCAUUAACUUCUCCAGCAAUUUGAGCAACAGUAGCUCGUCUGUUGCAUCGGACCACACGGGCCAUCCUUCACUUCCCACGUGCAUCAGUGAGGCUUGGCCGCCCAUGACCCUGUUGCCGGUUCCCCACUGUUCCUUCCUUGGACCACUUUUGAUAGAUACUGACCACUGCAGACCGGGAACACCCCACAAGAGCUGCAGUUUUGGAGAUGCACUGAUCCAGUCGUCUAGCCAUCACAAUUAAGCCCUUUUCUAACUCGCUCAUAUCCUUACGCUUGUCCAUUCUUCCUUCUUCUAACACAUCAACUUCGAGGACAAAAAGUUCACUUGCUGCCUAAUAUAUCCCACCCACUAACAGGUGCCAUGAUGAGAAGAUAAUCAGCGUUAUUCACGUCACCUGGCUCUGCUCAUGAUGUUAUGGCUGAACGGUGUAGGUCUAACAGAAACAGUAGGAAGACUUUGCAAUGGCACACAACCAUGCUCCUUAAGUAGGAAGAUAAAUGAUGCAAAUUCCCUCAGGUGUGCAAAGCAGUCCAGAACCCAGGUGAGUGUCUCACGUGGUCAUUGGGAGAAGUACAGGCAGUGGCACUUACCUUUCUGUGUUCAAAUGUAUUGUAGCAUCAGCUAUCUAAAAAAGUAUGUUGUAUAUUGA